UCCCUCAUGUUACCAGCUAUUUUUGCCACUUCAGUCCCAAAAAGGGAUGGAAAACAAGAGUGGAAACGGUUAUGAAAAAGAUAACUCAACGCCGACACUAAAAAGGCCUAUAACCGAGCGCAAUUAUGACUGUAACAGCACUACCAUUUUUCAGCAAAUGUCGAUGUUGUAUGAACAGUGGCGACUGAAAUGUUACGAAAAUUCAUUCGGCAUCGUUGUUUGUUUACUCGAGUCCUUCCAAAUAACCUUAAACGACGAGUCCCAUCCCCCAAUUCUGCAGCGCAGUAUUUUGUUAACAUCUGCCCCAAACAAAGACAUUGCAACAUAGAUUUUUGGUUUGGUACUUUGUAAAAAAGCCUGAGAAGUAACCCGAGCUAAAGCUCGCUAGGGACCCGGCGGAAUCCGGAGAAAUCCAAGACCGACGGGAGCUCAUAAUGUGGUAUUACCUGAAGCAUACCUGCCCUUUCCGUUGAGAAGACUUCACACACCCUGCAAAAUGUCGCCUGUAUCUGAAGGCUACUGUGGCAACCUCGUGUCCUCGCGUUCGGUCCGGUGAGGCUCAAAAUGAAAGAUGAUUCAGCCAGCAAGCCCCUCGUUCGAAUAACAGGGUCUGCUUGAAAAGGCCCGGAAAGUGCUUUAGGUGUGAAUCACACAACGAAUGGUUAACAAAUGGAAACCUUUGAAAAAUAGAGAAGAAAUGCAAGUGUUUGUGAAAAAGGCAUGCAGUAUGAAGAAUUACAGUUCAGUGCUGAAAUUGGAGAGAUGUGGAGGUGGUGAAUUUGCUCCGCACCCCCCAAUCUGCCUGUCAGAGGGAUGCUGAAAAAUUUCGGUUUGAGCAGACAAUGUACCAGCGGAUGUGGUUUAAGGCCUUACGCUCCUCGUCGGCGUCUCACCGACCCCUCCCAUCGUCUCCGGUCCCCCAGCGGACAGCUGCUCCACAGCUCCACGUCCCCCACUGCUAGACUGUCACUGGCAUUGGCUGAUUCGCACUUCAAACGCAGCCACAAAUGGCCAUCGCUUGUACGCAGAUUCUCUCACGUUUUGAUGUCCGACCUACUCUGGAAAAUGCGUCUGUGGAAAAGCGGAUUGCCAUCUUCAAGGUUAGGGGCCAACGUGAAAACGGCUGCGUUAAAAGGCCCUUGAGGUUUUGAUGAUGCUUCAGUAGAUUCCACAAUAUUACACAGGGCUACCCUGCAGUCUAAUAUCACUCUGAAAUAUCAACACCAACAAGAGGAGCCAGAAAGGUCCCCGAAGCUCAAAUCCAAUUCAGAGCAACAGUUCAAAUGCGCAGUGCUGUGAACUCAAACACUAUCUAGGAGGAACCUGUUACCGCUGAGGAGCUAAAAAGAUAUGAAAUGAAGGAUAUCUUACGUGUCUUUGCUGAUGCGCUUUGGAGGACGCUUCGCUGGAGAUGACAGCCCGUCUUCUUCUCGCCAUGUGCUGUAACAAAAGCAUCCCAUGCAUCCGAUGCCUGUCCCUUUAAAGCCUUGCUGCAUCCCUGCAGGUGGCCUGUCAAUUUAGCGGAUCCGAAUGACGUCACUGCAUGGCUGGAAAAGCUUGAACGAGCGACAUUUGAAGCUGAAUCUUGCCUGAGGAGGAACAGAAUAUGCAUGAAUAUAACUUACAAUACGCGAUCAAUUGGACAUAAAUGCAUCAGGAACAGAAGGAAUUGUGACUCGAAAAAACAAAUUGUGGAAAAAAAGUUUGAAGGAAGCUACAAUUACAGCAACAUUCUAUUAUGUUGCUGAGUACCAACUAUAUUGAGAAGGUAAAAGCUUCUUUUUAAAUGUCAAACACAGCCUCUAUGCAACGUAGAUUUCCAGAAAUGUUAAAAAAACAGCAUCUUCGCUGCUUCUGCGCAAAAAGCAACCUUUUAAAUCUGCUUUUUCCAAUUACGGCUAGCAGGCAAUAGGUUUGUAAUUAAGGCUAUAUGCCAGUGGUUUGAGUGUGCUUGGAGUUUCCACUGGCCUGGCCAUUUUUGAGUCUGGAAUCGGCAGUGAAAUUUUCAUUACUGCAGAAUUUGAGAUAUCUCGGUGCUCUUUGUUUUGCUUCUUCAGCAUUAGGCCCUCAUAUCAGUCUAAAAACCAGCCUUAAGGACCCUCCAUCUUCCACUCGGGCUCUGGAUGCAGAGGAAAUGAAUCUUCCUUGUGCAUUUUGGCGGAGAGCGAGGAGGGGGGACGUAAAACCAAAAACAAAACCUAAAAGGAAAGACGAUGACCCUUGACAAAGAGAAAAGAGCUGAAUGAAAGGCCAUUAUUUGAAAAAUCUCAAAUGCAAAGCCUAUACCAUAAUGUUAUAGCUAGCAUGUUUUUGGCCCCUAAGCGAGGCGUUUUGGCCGAUGGGUAGAGAGUGCACUCAGAACGCCGGCAUGUAGCAUUUGGAGGACUCUAAUGUUCUUUUUCCAUGUUUUUCAACUGGAAUACCUUUCAUGCUCACAACCUGCCAUUACUGAAGAUUACAACUUAUAUAAUCUACCAACUGGGUCUCUACAUACUUGGGUCGAGGAUAAUUGGGUACAAAUCCAUUAUCAUACUCUCAAGGCCAAGCACACAGGUUUCCUUCUGUGCUCGGUUCUUAUUCAUUUUUCUUUUUCAAUUUUUUAGCCCUCGUAAAUCCAUUUUGGAGAAAGAACACUAAAUGAAUUUGGGCAAAUUAGACUUUAUCUCAUGUUCCCUUUUUGGAGCUCUAGUGCAUAUAAGAUUAAGCUUAAAAUCUUUCUGGCAGAGGCAUGUAUGUAUGAAUUAGCUUGUAUAUUCAUGUACGCCAAGGGUUUUAAUUAAUUAUAGCGAUGGAAAAAACAUGUUAAUAACAUUCCAAAUGAAGACUUGAAUAUAUUUCUUAAAUAACCUAUAUGUAUCUGACAGGUUAACUAUAGUGAGCUAAAACUAAAACCAUGAAAAUUAAAUAAAAUAUAAAAACCAUAAGCUAACGAUUGCUUCAAAAAAGAAAAGAAAAGAAAAAAAAAACCCUCACCAUAAUAAUUUCAAACUGUACCAGAAAGGCACCUCCAUUAGUGGUGUUCAGUAAAGAUUUAUUGACCUCUGUCCUAAUCAUCAUGGAACUACCCUGUCAAUUGACAUUUAAAAAUGGUUUGUUAAUAUCAUAAUUUUAAACAUUUUCUGGAAGACAGGCAUGCUGCCUAUUGAAUGCGGAAUUAAAAGUGUAUUUGCGAAGUCCAAAUGCUCCAUAAAACGUGGAAGUGAAAAGGCAUUUUGAGCAUUCGUCGAUUUUUCUAUGGCAGAAAGGGAAGACAAAAGAGUGAGAUGACCUCAUCUGUCACUGCUUUGCCUUUUCGGUGUACUCUGCUAAUGGGUGCGUAAAUGGGAAGUGCUUUGUCCCUAAUUAUCAGUUCUAAAUUUCCCUUUUGUUAGACCUCUCGCCAGCCAAACCCUGACCAAGAAAUGUCUUCUACCUGAAAGGUAAAUUUAGAUUAUUUUUUGUGGUAUAUUCAAAUAACCCUGCUGGAAGGGAAAAAAACGUCUCUCAUCCUAGCCAAGCUGAUGUUUGCCUUAAAACUAGGUGAGUAUAACAAAAAAUAAAGAUGGUUUUCUUUAUUCAGUUUACAAUAGGAAAAUAAAAGGUCACAGAUGUUUCAGUUUGUCAAUUCGUUGCUCAAGGUAAUUUUACACAAUCUGUUGCUUAAACAAGCUAAACACAUUAUAAAACAACUAAAACCAUAGGAUUGAUAACACUUCAGACAUUGAGAUGCUGUUUAUAAAUAUUGUAUCUUGAAGAAAAAGAUUUGUGAUCAUUUUUGAUCAAUGGGUCAACAGGACUUCACAACCUUCUCAAUCCCAGUGCAUUUCAGAUGUUCAGUGCUGUGAUUAUGAUCAAUAUUUUGUCUGCUGAUGACUGAUUUCUCUUUACUUACUCUGAUUCUCAGUGUUUUCUGAACAUACGGUAAGAAACAUGGACAAAACCAGGUAAGACCAUGUGGACGGUGCCUAAAACCUCUUUAAAUAUAGCCCUAGGCUUUGUAGUGCUCUCACCAAUCUAACCCUGAACAAGUAAAUUUUGUUAUUUUUUAUACCAUGUUCAUUUUGAAAACCAUCUUAAAGGGAUAGCCAAAAAUAAAAAUUCUGCCAUU